GCCUCUGUGGCUCAGUUGGUAGUAGCGAUCGGACUCAUGUUCCGAAAGGUCGCAAGUUCGAGUCUUGCCGGGGGCG